AGUUUGAUCCUGGCUCAGGAUGAACGCUAGCUACAGGCUUAACACAUGCAAGUCGAGGGGAAACGAUAUUGGAAGCUUGCUUCCGAUAGGCGUCGACCGGCGCACGGGUGAGUAACGCGUAUCCAACCUGCCCACCACUUGGGGAUAACCUUGCGAAAGUAAGACUAAUACCCAAUGAUAUCUCUAGAAGACAUCUGAAAGGGAUUAAAGAUUUAUCGGUGAUGGAUGGGGAUGCGUCUGAUUAGCUUGUUGGCGGGGUAACGGCCCACCAAGGCGACGAUCAGUAGGGGUUCUGAGAGGAAGGUCCCCCACAUUGGAACUGAGACACGGUCCAAACUCCUACGGGAGGCAGCAGUGAGGAAUAUUGGUCAAUGGACGAGAGUCUGAACCAGCCAAGUAGCGUGCAGGAUGACGGCCCUAUGGGUUGUAAACUGCUUUUAUAAGGGAAUAAAGUGAGUCUCGUGAGACUUUUUGCAUGUACCUUAUGAAUAAGGACCGGCUAAUUCCGUGCCAGCAGCCGCGGUAAUACGGAAGGUCCGGGCGUUAUCCGGAUUUAUUGGGUUUAAAGGGAGCGUAGGCCGGAGAUUAAGCGUGUUGUGAAAUGUAGACGCUCAACGUCUGCACUGCAGCGCGAACUGGUUUCCUUGAGUACGCACAAAGUGGGCGGAAUUCGUGGUGUAGCGGUGAAAUGCUUAGAUAUCACGAAGAACUCCGAUUGCGAAGGCAGCUCACUGGAGCGCAACUGACGCUGAAGCUCGAAAGUGCGGGUAUCGAACAGGAUUAGAUACCCUGGUAGUCCGCACGGUAAACGAUGGAUGCCCGCUGUUGGUCUGAAUAGGUCAGCGGCCAAGCGAAAGCAUUAAGCAUCCCACCUGGGGAGUACGCCGGCAACGGUGAAACUCAAAGGAAUUGACGGAAGG
rnacentral:rRNA from 1 species